rnacentral:lncRNA from 1 species
GCAAGAAAAGAAACUAAUUCUACAUGUGUAGUGGGGUUAUCUAAAACACAGAUAGACAUUAAUAAGAAAAACAUAGAAACUGAUUUCUGGGAAACCCUGAAAUGAUGUACACUAGGAGUUUUUGCUUUCGUUAUAUAGAACUGAUGGAAAACAGACAUCUCUUUGACCUUAUUUCUUUUUGAUGUAACUAAACGCAAGUCUUUGAAAUUUCUGGGUCUCACUAUUCCCACACAAGAAAUAAUAUGUUUUCCUCAGAUCCAGAGAUGACCAGGUAAUAUUACUUGAGUUGCUUCUUCCAGCAUCCAGAAAUGAAUUUGCUGGAUAUUUCCCAUCCACGUCCCCUCCCACAUAUUUCAAGUGUGGUUUGGGAAAAACUAGCAGAACAGAAGAAUCUUUCUCCAUGAUAAUUCAGAUAAUAUGGUUCAUUGUUGCUACUGUGUUAGAGAACACUCUACAGAACGCGUGGAUGAACAGAAGCACGAAGAGUCAGAAGCCUACUGCAAAUAAUCCAGCUUCCCUGUGGAAAGUGAAUUGAAAAGGGACUUAACCAGAGAUGGAGACAGGAGGCUACUGCAGCUGUCCAGGCACAAAAUGAAGAUGGCAGCAGGAAGAAACUGGCAGUAUGAGUGGAGAGGAGUGAGCAGCUCUGCCAGGCUGUCCAGGUGAGGGCGGUACGGGGGCCCAGGUGAAUGCCACUUCUAGUUGGUAGCCGCUUAGAGAACUGUGCCACUCAUGGAGAAAAGGGGCUCUGAGUUAUUUUAAGGAGAGGCUGCUGACGACAUCAAGACUCAGUUUCCCUGCAACAUAGCACACUCAGAUCGGAACAAUCAAGAAAGGAAAAUACCAGGGCCUUCCAGGGGAAGCCAGAAAGGGCCUGGCUGCCUGUCACCACCUGCACCCAAAGCACUGAUAUUUUCUUGAUAUGUGUGUUUAUUACUUUGUUCUCCCUUACUUUGUGUCAAUGUUAAACACGAGGGCGUCAUCAACGAUAAAAACAAGAUAAACACGAGACACUUCUAGAAUCAAUGAUACAGUUAAUAAAAUGAGGGGUGACGGAGGGGAACAUUUUCAAGGAAAACUUGCCCAAAUAAAAAUUGUUUUCUGUUAAAAC